rnacentral:ncRNA from 1 species
GCAAGGUGCCUUUUUGCAUUGCAAAAAGCUGAAAUGGGAAAGCGGUUCAAAGCCGCUGCUGCCCCCGCAACGGUAAUUUUGUGCGGGCGCGCCAGUGCCAAUAGGCAAGCCACUGAACGCAAAAGUUUGGGAAGGCGGCGCGUCAAAACAAAAAAGCCCGGAGACCGACCUUGUUUUUUU